rnacentral:piRNA from 1 species
CUAUGGCCACUCUGCAUUCCUGCGUGG